UACAGAGGGUGCGAGCGUUAAUCGGAAUUACUGGGCGUAAAGCGCGCGUAGGCGGCUUUGUAAGUUAGAGGUGAAGCCCGGGGCUCAACCCCGGAAUUGCCUUUAAGACUGCAUCGCUUGAAUCCGGGAGAGGUGAGUGGAAUUCCGAGUGUAGAGGUGAAAUUCGUAGAUAUUCGGAAGAACACCAGUGGCGAAGGCGGCUCACUGGACCGGCAUUGACGCUGAGGUGCGAAAGCGUGGGGAGCAAACAGG
rnacentral:rRNA from 1 species